CGUCGUGACUGCGUGCCUUUUGAAGAAUAAGCCUGCGAGUUUGCUGUAUGUUGCGAGGUUAACCCGUGUGGGGAAGCCGUAGCGAAAGCGAGUCCGAAGAGGGCGAUAUAGUAGCGUGCCCAAGACCCGAAGCGGAGUGAUCUAGCCAUGGGCAGGUUGAAGCGGAGGUAAGACUUCGUGGAGGACCGAAACCACCAGGGUUGAAAACCUGGGGGAUGACCUGUGGUUAGUGGUGGAAGGGCCAAUCAAACUCCGUGAUAGCUGGUUCUCCCCGAAAUGCAUUUAGGUGCAGCGUCGUGUGUUUCUUGCCGGAGGUAGAGCACUGGAUAGGCGAUGGGCCCUGCCGGGUUACUGACCUUAGCCAAACUCCGAAUGCCGGUAAGUGAGAGCGCGGCAGUGAGACUGUGGGGGAUAAGCUCCAUGGUCGAGAGGGAAACAGCCCAGAGCAUCGACUAAGGCCCCUAAGCGUGUGCUAAGUGGGAAAGGAUGUGGAGUCGCAGAGACAACCAGGAGGUUGGCUUAGAAGCAGCCAAUCCUUGAAAGAGUGCGUAAUAGCUCACUGGUCAAGUGAUCCGCGCCGGACAAUGUAGCGGGGCUCAAGCACACCGCCGAAGUCAUGUCA
rnacentral:rRNA from 1 species